rnacentral:rRNA from 1 species
GGACCCGCACAAGCAGCGGAGCAUGUGGUUUAAUUCGAAGCAACGCGAAAAACCUUACCAAGACUUGACAUUACUUGAAGUCUGUAGAAAUACAGACGCCUUCGGGCAAGUGGACAGGUGGUGCAUGGUUGUCGUCAGCUCGUGUCGUGAGAUGUUCGGUUAAGUCCGGCAACGAGCGCAACCCUUGUGGUAUGUUGGCAUCAUUAAGUUGGCAACUCAUACCAGACUGCCGUGGACAACACGGAGGAAGGCGGGGACGACGUCAAAUCAUCAUGCCCCUUACGUCUUGGGCUACACACGUGCUACAAUGGGCAGUACAAACAGAAGCGAGACUGUAAAGUGGAGCGAAUCUGAAAAACUGUUCUCAGUUCGGAUUGAGGGCUGAAACCCGCCCUCAUGAAGUCGGAGUUGCUAGUAAUCCCGGAUCAGCACGCC